AUCUACAGCCAUACCACCUUGAAUGCUCACAAUCUCGUCUGAUCUCAGAAGCUAAGCAGGGUCUGGCUUGGUCAGUACUUAAAUGGGAGAAAAGGGCUUUGGUGCUGAGGUC
rnacentral:rRNA from 1 species